rnacentral:rRNA from 1 species
GAUGAACGCUGGCGGCGUGCCUAACGCAUGCAAGUCGAGCGAGGACCGCCCGGUGGCAACACCGGGUUGGUGCCUAGCGGCGAACGGGUGAGUAACACGUGGGUAACCUGCCCCCGACACCGGGAUAAGCCUGGGAAACUGGGUCUAAUACCGGAUAUUGAGCCUCCUCCGCAUGGUGGGGGCUGGAAAGGGUCUCCGGUCGGGGAUGGGCCCGCGUCCUAUCAGCUUGUUGGUGGGGUAACGGCCUACCAAGGCGACGACGGGUAGCCGGCCUGAGAGGGUGUACGGCCACACUGGGACUGAGACACGGCCCAGACUCCUACGGGAGGCAGCAGCGGGGAAUAUUGCGCAAUGGGCGAAAGCCUGACGCAGCGACGCCGCGUGCGGGACGAAGGCCUUCGGGUUGUAAACCGCUUUCAGCAGGGACGAAGCGAAAGUGACGGUACCUGCAGAAGAAGGUCCGGCCAACUACGUGCCAGCCGCCGCCGUAACAC